rnacentral:lncRNA from 10 species
CACACUUCCGAAUAAUAAGGAAAUCAUUCAGUUGUUUGCUGAACAGGCUGGCUUGUCCAUGAGCAGUCUGGCCGGCAGAAGCCUCAGGGAUCCCAGAGAGAAGCAGUUGUUUCCUGAUUGGCAUUUCAUCUAAGUACUAAGGACAUCCACCGAAGAGAAGUUGCUGGAUUUCACCUCCAUGGGCAGGCACAGGAAGGACACAUGGAGUGCAUCUUGGCUACAACAUAUGGUGCUGAAACAGCAAGCUGAUAAGUCUUUAGCAGUACUUGACAGUGGUAAGAGAUCAAUUAUUGUCACAUAAAUAUUAAAAAGCUCCCCUAGUACUUUGUUGUAAUGAGUAAAUUUAACCAUGAUAACUACCUCCCUGUUAAUAGCAACCAAAUUUGCCUAGGAAACAAAGUGUCACUCCAUUAGGUGUUCAAUUAAAUGCUCAGUUGGUCCGAGGCUGUGUUGCUGCUGUUCCUAUUGCUGCUGCUUCCAUCUGCAAUGAAAGCGAA